rnacentral:rRNA from 1 species
GCAGUAUUUUGACUGUACAAAGGUAGCAUAAUCAAUCGUCUCUUAAUUGGAGUCUGGUAUGAAUGGUUGGAUGAGAAAUUUACUUUCUUUAUUUUUGACAUAAAAAUUAAUUUCUAAUUCAAAAAGUUUAGAUUUUAUUAAAGGACGAGAAGACCCUAUAGAACUUUACUUUUUUCUUAAAUUGCUAUUUUCUGGAAAAUAUUUUUUUUAAAUUUAAGAAAAAGUUUUGUUGGGGUGACAAAAAAAUUUUUAUAACUUUUUUUAUUUUUUUCAUUUAUUUAUGAAUUUUUGAUCCUUUAUUAUGGAAAUAAGAUUAAGUUACCUUAGGGAUAACAGCGUUAUUAUUUUGGAGAGUUCAUAUUGAUAAAAUAGUUUGCGACCUCGAUGUUGGAUUAAAAUAAGUGCUGGGGGUAGUAUAUCAGUUACUAGGUCUGUUCGACCUUUAAAUUUUUACA